GAGAAAAUUAUGUCUGAAGUUCAGUAAGUUUUGCUUAUAUUGCUCGGCUUAAAUAUGGCGUCAAUUUUAAAGCAUCAUCGAUAAUUGUAUUUUAAUUGACAAUUUUUAACUAUGAUUUUAUGUUUCUCAACUGCAUGUAUAAACUUAAAGAAUAAAGCAAAAACAAAGUGAUUCUAAGAAGAGGAACGCAAAAGCAAUGUUCGCUAUUAGCGAAGCUCGGAACCAAUGUUUGACAAUCAGACUUUGGACUUCAGACUUCGGAGUUCAGAGUUCAGACUUCGGAGUUCAGACUUCAGACUUCGGACUUCAGACUUCAGACUUCAGACUUUAGACUUCGGACUUCAGACUUCAGA